rnacentral:rRNA from 1 species
CAGAGGGUGCAAGCGUUGUUCGGAAUUACUGGGCGUAAAGGGCGCGUAGGCGGUUUAGCAAGUCAGAUGUGAAAGCCCGGGGCUCAACUCCGGAAUUGCAUUUGAAACUGCUAGGCUAGAGUGCAGUAGAGGAUGGCGGAAUACCUAGUGGAGAGGUGAAAUUCGUAGAUAUUAGGUGGAACACCGGUGGCGAAGGCGGCCAUCUGGGCUGUAACUGACGCUGAGGCGCGAGAGCGUGGGGAGCAAACAGGAUUAGAUACCCUGGUAGUCCACGCUGUAAACGAUGGAUACUCGCUGUGGCUGGUAUUGACCCCGGCCGUAGCCAAGUUAACACGUUAAGUAUCCCGCCUGGGGAGUACGGUCGCAAGAUUA